rnacentral:rRNA from 1 species
UCAAGUUGAACGGAUGACUUAGUGGCGGACGGGUGAGUAACGCGUGAGGAACCUGCCCUUCAGUGGGGGACAACAGUUGGAAACGACUGCUAAUACCGCAUAAGACCACAGUACGGCAUCGUACAGUGAUCAAAGGAUUUAUUCGCUGAAGGAUGGGCUCGCGUCCGAUUAGCUAGAUGGUGAGGUAACGGCCCACCAUGGCGACGAUCGGUAGCCGGACUGAGAGGUUGAUCGGCCACAUUGGGACUGAGACACGGCCCAGACUCC